AGAGUUUGAUCCUGGCUCAGGACGAACGCUGACGGUGUGCUUUAGACAUGCAAGUCGAACGAGAAAGCCCUUCGGGGUGAGUACAGUGGCGAACGGGUGAGUAACACGUGGGUAACCUGCCCCUCGCAGAGGGACAACCGGGGGAAACUCCGGCUAAUACCUCGUACGCUUGCCGGGCCGCAUGGCACCGGCAAGGAAAGGUAGCUUCGGCCAUCCGGCGAGGGAUGGGCCCGCGGUCCAUUAGCUAGUUGGUGGGGUAACGGCCUACCAAGGCGACGAUGGAUAGCUGGUCUGAGAGGAUGAUCAGCCACACUGGGACUGAGACACGGCCCAGACUCCUACGGGAGGCAGCAGUCGGGAAUCUUGCGCAAUGGGCGAAAGCCUGACGCAGCAACACCGUGUGGGCGACGAAGGCCUUCGGGUCGUAAAGCCCUGUUGUUGGGGACGAAGGACGAAGGGUUAAUAGCCCCUAGUCUGACGGUACCCUUCGAGGAAGCCCCGGCUAACUACGUGCCAGCAGCCGCGGUAAUACGUAGGGGGCGAGCGUUGUCCGGAAUUAUUGGGCGUAAAGAGCGUGUAGGCGGUUCGGUAAGUCUGCUGUGAAAUCCUGGGGCUCAACCCCGGGCGUGCAGCGGAUACUGCCGGGCUAGAGGGUGGUAGAGGCGAGUGGAAUUCCCGGUGUAGCGGUGAAAUGCGCAGAUAUCGGGAGGAACACCAGUAGCGAAGGCGGCUCGCUGGGCCAUUCCUGACGCUGAGACGCGAAAGCAUGGGGAGCGAACAGGAUUAGAUACCCUAGUAGUCC
rnacentral:rRNA from 1 species